rnacentral:lncRNA from 1 species
GGCGGGCGUCCCUGGCGACUCCCGGCUGGCGGGCGUCCCUGGCGGCGCCCGGCUGGCGGGCGUCCCUGGCGGCUCCGACGGCACUGACCCAGGAUUCACCAGGCUGGGGAGACAUGGAUGCCUGGCCCUGGGCACAGGACUCACCAGGCUGGGGAGACAUGGAUGCCUGGCCCUGGGCACAGGCACAGGACUCACCAGGCUGGGGAGACAUGACAGAGGCCUGGCCCUAGGCGUAGGCACAGGACUCACCGGGCUGGCGGGCGUCCCUGGCCACUCUGGCAGUUCAGGGCAGUCUGGCCACUCUGGCAGUUCAGGGCAGUCUGGCCACUCCGGCAGUUCAGCGCAGUCUGGCCACUCCGGCAGUUCAGCGCAGUCUGGCCACUCCGGCAGUUCAGCGCACGGCAGUCUCUCUGACGACUGUUGACUGGCGGGCAGCUCUGACGACUGUUGACUGGCGGGCAGCUCUGGACAGGUGAGACCCACUGGAGGCCUAGUCCUGGGAGGUGGCACAGGACGGACCAGGAUGGGGAGACCCACUGGAGGCCUAGUCCUGGGAGGUGGCACAGGAUGGACCAGGAUGGGGAGACCCACUGGAGGCCUGGUCCGAGGAGGAGGCACAGGAUAAACCGGGCUGUGGGGGAGCACUGGAGUUCUGGUACGGACACUCUUUACCCACACUCCAGGCUGAAUGCCCACUUUGGCCCGGCACGGGCGGAGAGCAGGCAUUGGGCGAACUGGACCCUCC